AAAAGCCAGGAGACGAAGGAAGGAAAUGAGCAAACUCACUACUGUGUUGCUCCUUCUUCAAGUUUUGACUUCCUUCCGCAAAUCCCCUGCUCUUGUUUACUUUUCAGAGUCCUCGGGUAUUUUGUAUUCUGUCCAGAGUCUUUAGCCGUAAUUAAUGGGACGAAUAAGCUAAAGUGGGCUCACUCCAUCUUUGCUGGCAUCUGAAGCUUGGGAUUUGUUUUGAAUCAGCCUUCAACCCAGCCACACUACCCAGUACCUGCUGGUUCCCCGGCUCCUUCCUCUCCUCUUUACCUUCCACUGUGAUGAAGCGGCCCAUUGACUUCUAGGCACUUGACUUAUCUGCUUAGUGUCUUGGCCUUCGCUGGCAUUCUCCCUCCUGUGGGACAGCUCUUCAAACUCCCUCUCCAGGAGAGCCCAUCGUGAGUCAGACUUAGUGGCCAUAAAAGACGAGACAGGACAGGGUGAGGGCUAAGGGAACGAACCCGGACAUCGAGGUGGCUCAAAGUGCACUGGAGCAGCAGAACAGAAAGAACGUCAGCGGAACAGAAAGGAGUCCCUGCUUUCAGAGGUGGCACAAAGCUCCAGAAUCACCACGGGCUUUGUGCUGGGUCAGCUGGCACCCACCUGGCAGGUUUUAGGAAGAACAAGAGCGUUCGUUUGAAUAGAUGGUCUGAGAAGCAAGCUCCUAGAUGGAGCAUCAAGUGGAACGCCCAUCCCACAGGGCAGCAUGGCAGCAGGCUUCCAUGAGUGAGCAAUCCAAGAGACAGCAAGACAGAAGCCAACGUCUUUAAUAACCUAGAUUCUGAGUGGCACACCAUCGCUUUGGUCCUAUACUGUUGGCCACACAGACCGACCCUGAUACAAUGUGGGAGGGAUCCACACAAGGAAGCAGGCACCAGGAAACAGCAUUAUUGAGAGCCAUCUCAAAGGCUGCCUGGCUACCAUGAGCCUCCUCUGAGAGACGGCUGCUUCGGACACAUCUUUUCACUGCCAAUAUUUGACACAGGUCUGGUCAGGUAGGAGGUGCCCAAUGAGGUUUGUUGAUGAUGAAGAGAUGUUGGGCACUCACCAUAAGCUGGAAUUAAAUGAAAAGUCCUCCUGAGGAUGAGGCAUAAUCAGAAAUAUUUCUUAAUAGACAUAAUUAAUACUGCAGAAUAUUUUUCUGAUUUUCAAUUGUUUUCAUUUAUAUUAAUAAAGUAAGGCUUGGGCCUAAGUAGGAUAAAAUUAAAUGUCCAGGGGAUGGCUUGAAAUGGGCCCUAACUGACUAUUUCCUCCCUAACUAUUAUGGUGGGCACUAAUUCUAUUCAAAACCACAAGAAGGAUAAGGCAUCAUCAGAGAAAGAUAAACCUCACACAAUUGGUUUUUAAAGAAAAUUUUUACAUCCCACAUUAUUCUAAAUGGGUUUAUAGUAAGCCCUUGCCUUUUUUUAUUCUCAGAAACUGAAGUUGGACUCCUUGAGAAGAAUGAUUAAUCUAAACUCACCAGCCAUUAACUAAGGAUUGGUUUAUUAUACAGACUUGAAGGAAGACCUCGUCUCCUCUCCUAACUUCUUUGCUCUCCAUGAGUUCUUAAUCUCCAAGACCAGACAAAAACAAAGGAUUUUUAGAGUAAGGUCGGUAUAAAAACUUCCCCACCAUUUUUUUUUACUGUUUUCCAAUUUACAGAAAAAUAAAGCUGGAGUAGAAAUAAA
rnacentral:lncRNA from 1 species